CGGGUGAGUAACGCGUGGUCAACCUUCCGUUGAAUGGGGGAUAACUAGCCGAAAGGUUAGCUAAUACCGCAUACGAUCUUUUGAAGGCAUCUUUAAAAGAUGAAAGGAGCAAUUCGUUCAACGACGGGACCGCGUCCCAUUAGCUAGAUGGUGGGGGUAAUGGCCUACCAUGGCAACGAUGGGUAGCUGGUUUGAGAGAGCGACCAGCCACACUGGGACUGAGAGACGGCCCAG
rnacentral:rRNA from 1 species